rnacentral:rRNA from 1 species
GAUGAACGCUGGCGGCGUGCUUAACACAUGCAAGUCGAACGGAAAGGCCCUGCUUGCAGGGUACUCGAGUGGCGAACGGGUGAGUAACACGUGGGUGAUCUGCCCUGCACUUCGGGAUAAGCCUGGGAAACUGGGUCUAAUACCGGAUAGGAGCCAUUUUUAGUGUGAUGGUUGGAAAGUUUUUUCGGUGUAGGAUGAGCUCGCGGCCUAUCAGCUUGUUGGUGGGGUAAUGGCCUACCAAGGCGGCGACGGGUAGCCGGCCUGAGAGGGUGGACGGCCACAUUGGGACUGAGAUACGGCCCAGACUCCUACGGGAGGCAGCAGUGGGGAAUAUUGCACAAUGGGCGCAAGCCUGAUGCAGCGACGCCGCGUGGGGGAUGACGGCCUUCGGGUUGUAAACUCCUUUCGCUUGGGACGAAGCUUUUUGUGACGGUACCUAGAUAAGAAGCACCGGCUAACUACGUG